CCUAAGUUUUCUUCUUGUUUUAUGGUUUCCAGCCUUACAUUUAGAUCUUCAAUCCAUUAUGAGUUUACUUUUGUAUAUGGUGUGGGAAAAUGUUCUAAUUUUAUUCUUUUACAGGUAGCUGUCCAGGUUUCCCAGCACCACUUACUGAAGAGACUGUCUUUUCUCCAUUGUAUAUUC